rnacentral:rRNA from 1 species
UACGUAGGUGGCAAGCGUUGUCCGGAUUUACUGGGCGUAAAGCGCGCGCAGGCGGCAGUGUAAGUAAGGUGUGAAAUCUCCCUGCUCAACGGGGAGGGUGCACUUUAGACUACACAGCUAGAGGUCGGUAGAGGGGGGUGGAAUUGCUGGUGUAGCGGUGAAAUGCGUAGAGAUCAGCAGGAACACCCGUGGCGAAGGCGGCCCCCUGGGCCGUACCUGACGCUGAGGCGCGAAGGCUAGGGGAGCGAACGGG